rnacentral:tRNA from 2 species
GCCGAAGUGGCGGAAUGGCAGACGCGCCGCGUUCAGGGCGCGGUGCCCGCAAGGGCGUGUGAGUUCAAAUCUCACCUUCGGCACCA